GCAGAGAGGGGAGAGGAGGCGAGAUUGGGGGAGUGAGUGUAAGACAGCACAGAAGAGAGGUGCGGGUGAGGAAGAAAGAAGGGGUGCAGAGAGGGGAGAGGAGGCGAGAUUGGGGGAGUGAGUGUAAGACAGCACAGAAGAGAGGUGCGGGUGAGGAAGAAAGAAGGGG